ACAGGGCACUUAUCUCCUUGGUGUGGACUGCAACUGUGACAUAAAUCCUGAAAGCCAUGUCCUUAUCCCCAGGUGAAUGUGGCCCCUUCUUGUCAUGGAUUAAUACAGAAGCUUGAUGGAUGCUGACUCCAGUUCACCAGUUUUGACCUGUUCUGAACUCUGGUCUCUGCCACUAGGAUAUCAGCAGAAGGAGAGUGAGGUGCAGGUAUUUGUGUCACUGAUCUCUUCUCUGUGUGGGCUUGGUUCUGUCCCUCAACAGUUAGUCACUGUCCUCCCCAAGUUGAGAUUUUGGUAGUAUUAGUAUAUUUCUUUAGAUAUCAUUUAUCUAUCUCUGUCUAAUGAAUCAUAUCAGUUAAUGUCUGGCACAAAUGUUUAUCAAUAACAUUUAUUAAUAAACAUGUAUAAACUCACAAUUUCUGUGAGUCAGGAAUCCAGUGUUGGUUUUCUUCGAUGUCUUUGUCUCGGGGUCUUUCAUGAGAUUGUGGUCAAGCUGUUGGCCAGGGCUUCCCUAGUCAAGACUCACCAGAGUUGAGACGUCUUUUCAAGAUGGUUAUUGGCAGGCUUCAGUCCCAUGAAAGCUGUAAGAUGGAGUGCCUCGGGUCUCACCAAAAGGGCCAUGUGGAUGCCUCCAUGGGCUUCUCAUAACAUGGUACCUGAGUUCUCCAAGUUCAAAUUACAGCAGACAGCAGUAGUGAGGGAGAGAACCAGAAUAAGGACCACAGGCAAAUUAAAAAUAAUCUUUGAUAUAGGAUGUCAUCAUUUUUUUUUCAUUAUUCACUCAUUAGAAGUGACUUACAAAGUGCAGCCCAUACUCAAGAGAAAAUGAACGCAUACGGAUCUGAAUACCAGAGGAGGACCUGUGAGGUAUGGGAGCAGACACCACUCAUCUGACAAGCUGGAUCUUUGUGUCAUCAACAAAAAACAUUCUUUGCAAAGAUUUCAGGGACACAUGAAAAUCAAGUUCAGGGAUGUCAUUAGAAAGAUGAAAGGAUUGAGAAAACAAGGGUUUACUCAGGAAGAUCGCUAAGGUCAAUUGCAAGGUGUAGAAGACUCACCCUAGGGAGGUUUGCUGCCAGAAUGGUAUAAAAGGGAAACAAAUGAAGGCUUGCUUCUGUUUCCUCGGGGAGCUCCAGUCUUUGCCUUGGACUCCUUUCCUGGCUUCGGCACAGACUCUUCAGCCUCUGGAUGCAGACCCUUCGGCCUCCUAAUAUGGACUUACGUGGGACACUCCAGUGGGCUCCAGGCCUUCGACUAGAUCCUUUGGAUCCCCCUCAGGCAGAAGACCUUUUGCAUUCUGCCACAUCUGACUCUGUGGGUGGCCACUGUAAGCUAAUGUUAUAAAUUCUUAUAUAUUUCU